GCAUUCUUGGUCCAACGGUAGGAUAAUUGCCUUCCAAGCAAUUGGCCCGGGUUCAACUCCCGGAGGAUGCA
rnacentral:tRNA from 1 species